rnacentral:rRNA from 1 species
AUACGGAGGAUCCGAGCGUUAUCCGGAUUUAUUGGGUUUAAAGGGUGCGCAGGCGGGAGAUUAAGUCGGCGGUGAAAUUUUUCAGCUCAACUGUAAAAGUGCCUUCGAAACUGGGUUUCUUGAGUAUGGAUGAAGUAGGCGGAAUUUGUGGUGUAGCGGUGAAAUGCAUAGAUAUCACGAGGAACUCCGAUUGCGCAGGCAGCUUACUAAGCCAUAACUGACGCUCAUGCACGAAGGCGUGGGGAUCAAACAGGAUUAGAUACCCUGGUAGUCCACGCAGUAAACGAUGAUUACUCGCUGUUUGCGAUACAAUGUAAGCGGCUAAGCGAAAGCAUUAAGUAAUCCACCUGGGGAGUACGUUCGCAAGAAUGAAACUCAAAGGAAUUGACGGGG